AUUGUGGGUAAGAGGAAGCGCUGGGGCCGGCUGGCUCCCCCCACGUGUCCGCCGGAGUUUCUCCACCAGCAACAUGGCCGCCGCCUGAGAGGAGAGCCGGGCCGCCGCCGCCUCUGCAGCCCGCGGGUAACUGGGCCGUUGCCGCCGUCCGCGCUCGGCCCCCGCGGAGAGAUCGAGCUGAAGGACUGUGCGGCUGGCUCUCUAUUAUGGCCAAUGAAGAGGAUGACCCAGUUGUACAGGAGAUCGACGUGUACUUGGCCAAGAGUCUGGUGGAAAAGCUGUAUCUAUUUCAGUACCCUGUGCGUCCAGCCUCGAUGACCUACGAUGACAUUCCGCACCUCUCAGCCAAGAUCAAGCCCAAGCAGCAGAAGGUAGAGCUUGAGAUGGCCAUCGACACCCUGAACCCCAACUAUUGCCGCAGCAAAGGGGAGCAGAUCGCACUGAACGUGGACGGGGCCUGCGCCGACGAGACCAGCACGUAUUCCUCGAAGUUGAUGGACAAGCAGACCUUCUGCUCUUCCCAGACCACCAGUAACACAUCCCGUUAUGCCGCUGCACUCUACAGGCAAGGUGAGCUCCACCUGACACCUUUACAUGGCAUCCUGCAGCUGCGGCCCAGCUUCUCCUACCUGGAUAAGGCUGACGCCAAGCACCGGGAGAGGGAGGCGGCCAACGAAGCAGGGGACUCUUCACAGGAUGAGGCAGAAGACGAUGUUAAGCAGAUCACGGUGCGGUUCUCCCGGCCGGAGUCAGAGCAGGCCCGCCAGCGCCGUGUGCAGUCCUAUGAGUUCCUGCAGAAGAAGCACGCAGAGGAGCCCUGGGUCCACCUGCAUUACUAUGGCCUGAGGGACAGUCGCUCUGAGCAUGAGCGUCAGUACCUGCUGUGCCCCGGCUCGAGCGGGGUGGAGAACACGGAGCUCAUCAAGUCACCCAGUGAGUACCUGAUGAUGCUGAUGCCACCCAGCCAGGAGGAGGAGAAAGACAAGCCUGUGGCCCCCAGCAACGUCCUGUCGAUGGCCCAGCUGCGCACGCUGCCCCUGGCCGAUCAGAUCAAGAUCCUGAUGAAGAAUGUGAAGGUCAUGCCUUUUGCCAACUUGAUGAGCCUCCUGGGCCCCUCCAUCGAUUCCGUGGCUGUUCUGCGGGGCAUCCAGAAGGUGGCGAUGUUGGUCCAAGGGAACUGGGUGGUGAAGAGUGACAUCCUAUACCCCAAGGACUCGUCCAGCCCUCACAGUGGCGUGCCUGCCGAGGUGCUCUGCAGGGGCCGAGACUUCGUUAUGUGGAAGUUCACGCAGAGCCGCUGGGUGGUUAGGAAAGAGGUGGCAACCGUGACCAAACUCUGCGCUGAGGACGUGAAGGACUUCCUGGAGCACAUGGCCGUGGUGAGGAUCAACAAAGGCUGGGAGUUCAUUCUGCCUUAUGACGGGGAGUUCAUCAAGAAGCACCCGGAUGUGGUCCAGCGGCAGCACAUGCUAUGGACGGGUAUCCAGGCCAAACUGGAAAAAGUCUAUAAUCUUGUAAAGGAAACCAUGCCAAAGAAGCCGGAUGCACAAUCAGGGCCUGCCGGGCUGGUCUCUGGGGACCAGCGGAUCCAAGUAGCCAAAACCAAGGCCCAGCAGAACCACGCGUUGCUGGAGCGGGAGCUGCAGCGGCGGAAGGAGCAGCUGCGGGCGCCUGCAGUCCCACCCGGUGUGCGGAUCAAGGAGGAGCCCGUGAGCGAGGAGGGCGAGGAGGACGACGAACAGGAGGCGGAGGAGGAGGAGGAGCCCAUGGACACUUCCCCCAGCGGCCUCCACAGUAAGCUGGCCAACGGGCUGCCUCCCGGGCGGGCUGCGGGCACAGACAGCUUCAACGGACACCCACCCCAGGGCUGCGCCAGCACCCCUGUGGCUCGGGAACUGAGGGCCUUCGUGGAGGCCACCUUUCAGAGACAGUUUGUGCUCACACUAAGCGAACUCAAGCGCCUCUUCAACCUGCACUUGGCGAGCCUUCCCCCCGGCCACACGCUCUUCAGCGGCAUCUCGGACCGCAUGCUGCAGGACACGGUGCUGGCCGCCGGUUGCAAGCAGAUACUGGUGCCUUUUCCCCCACAGACUGCUGCUUCCCCAGAUGAGCAGAAGGUGUUUGCCCUCUGGGAGUCUGGAGACAUGAGUGAUCAGCAUCGACAGGUUUUGCUUGAAAUUUUUUCCAAAAAUUACCGGGUACGCCGAAACAUGAUCCAGUCUCGGUUGACUCAAGAGUGUGGAGAAGAUCUCAGUAAACAGGAGGUGGAUAAAGUACUAAAGGACUGCUGUGUAAGCUAUGGUGGCAUGUGGUACCUUAAAGGGACAGUACAGUCUUGACAAUAGUAGCAAACUACUAACCCGGCAAAUCUAAGCCCAAGGAAGAAGGGCGGAACCAGAAGUAGAGCCUCGACUUGCUUCAGACGACACAGAGCAAGAAGAACUGACCAUCUCAUGACCUGUGGCAUUGCAUGAUGCAGUGGACAGAAGGGAUUAUCCUCAGCCAGUCGCAGGGUCAGCUUUAAGUUAGAUCACUCCCAGAAGAGACCAGCUGGGACCUUUGCAGUACAAUUUGAAAUUCCUGAUGUAUUUUGCUUAUUAUUUGGUUUCAUUCUCAUAAUAAAGAGGGUGUAUACUGACAUGGGCAGGAUGAUAAAAAUCAUGGUUUAAUAUUUUCUUUUGUAAACUUAAUGGCAACAAGGUCUAAGUUAUGUUUACAACAUGAAGAAAACCUCAAAGUUUUUAAUUUUUAAAAUGCCUAGAAGACAAUAUUUAGUCUUGGAUUAUCUAUCUGCUAAGACCUCCAAUUUCAUUAAACCAAAUUGGAUUAUUCUACUCUUGGGAUUCUGUGGCCACUUUACCUUUGACAACAACCUACUUUAUGUAGCAGUCUCAACUGUUUAUAUGAACCAUAGCAAAAAAAUCAGAAUCAAAUCCAUCUCCUUUUAAUGUUUGCAGAAAGAUGCAAACAAAACCAGGAAGGCGAUCUUGUUGGGAUCAGCGUUACAUGUAUCUAGAGGGAACGGAGCUAAUGGAGGGAGACAGAGCAGGACUGUCCACUAGAAAGAGGCGAGUCACGUACGUAAUUUUGAAAGUUUCUAGCAGCCACAUUAGUUUAAAAAGGUCAUUUUAGCAUAUUAUUUAGCCCAAAAUAUCUAAAACAUCAACAUAAGAUAAAAUACUAAUAUUUUACCUUUUUUUGUACCAAGUCUUCAAAAUCUGGCAUUUUACACUUUCCUCAACACUCUCAAUUUGGACUAGCCACAUCGUAAGUGCUCAGAUGCCACAUGGGGCUAUCUGCGACAGUAUUGGACAGCACAGCCCUAGAAAUCGAUGGAAAAAAUAAGAGUAAGCUAGGUUAGGUGACGUGAAUUUUGGUAUAUAGAUAAGGCUUUUGCCAUCUUUUUUGUAUAACACAGCCACUAAUUGUCUGAAGGUUUAAAUGAUGGUCUAUGCUAUUUCUCCACUCCCCCCAAAAUAAAACAUCUAAUAUUUUAGCUAUAGAAUCACUAAGGCAUUGAUCAAGGAUGUACUUUGCCAAAUAAGUAUUUGGUAACAUCGCUUAACAAGUUGAUCGUGUGUAUUGAUUCUGUUAACAUAUGUGAACCUGAAAAGUAAAGUUACCAAAAGCGA